rnacentral:rRNA from 1 species
GUAUAGAGUUAUUGGCGUACAACUUUGAGCGGUGGAUCACUCGGCUCGUGUGUCGAUGAAGAGUGCAGCCAACUGUGUGAAUUAAUGUGAACUGCAUACUGCUUUGAACAUCGACAUCUUGAACGCAUAUUGCGGCUACGGGAUAUCCUGUGGCCACGCCUGUCCGAGGGUCGGCU